rnacentral:rRNA from 1 species
GACGAACGCUGGCGGCGCGCUUAACACAUGCAAGUCGAACGGAAAGGCCCUGCUUUUGUGGGGUGCUCGAGUGGCGAACGGGUGAGUAACACGUGAGUAACCUGCCCUUGACUUUGGGAUAACUUCAGGAAACUGGGGCUAAUACCGGAUAGGAGCUCCUGCUGCAUGGUGGGGGUUGGAAAGUUUCGGCGGUUGGGGAUGGACUCGCGGCUUAUCAGCUUGUUGGUGGGGUAGUGGCUUACCAAGGCUUUGACGGGUAGCCGGCCUGAGAGGGUGACCGGCUACAUUGGGACUGAGAUACGGCCCAGACUCCUACGGGAGGCAGCAGUGGGGAAUAUUGCACAAUGGGCGGAAGCCUGAUGCAGCAACGCCGCGUGCGGGAUGACGGCCUUCGGGUUGUAAACCGCUUUCGCCUGUGACGAAGCGUGAGUGACGGUAAUGGGUAAAGAAGCACCGGCUAACUACGUG